CUGGUCAGCAAAGUGCCGCGAGGCAGAAUGGAGCAGCCUGCAGAUGGCUGGGAGAAAAUGGGUUCGAUUCCUUGAAUGCUGCUAAAUGGGUGGGGAAUAGUUAAGGGCUAAUUACAAAUCUGAGUGGUUUCCAGGAGGAAAUAGCAUGGCACAGUUAAGGUGCUCGUGGGCUGUUGUUACAAACCACGCUGUGCACGUUGGGCUCUGAGCACAUCCUGGUGCCCUGCUCCCAUUCCCCCCACCUGCAUCUGGGUCCUCCAGUUCAGCUUCCACAUCCAUGAGCUCCCAGCUGGGAAGGAGAGAUGUGGUGUCCCUGCUGAUGCUCGCCUUCGUUCUCGAUUGCAGUGCUGGGACAGCAGCACCAGCAUUGCAGCACCGCAGGGUGAGCUGAGGUCCCUGUGGGGCUGCACUCCCUGAGCUGCUGUUGGGUGUUUUUCUUCCAGGCACUUUGCAGAGCAUGAGGGGAAGGGGCAGCGUGCAGCCCGGCCGCAUCCACCCGACAACUGUGGGCCCUCCUUGCUUUGGUUCGAGCUCCAAAACUGAUAUUCCACAAAGAUGCAGCUAUGGGGGAUUCGCAGACUGCUGUGCAGAGCUGCCCCACUGCUGCUGCGUGCGGCCAAAGCAGAGGGCAUCGCUGCAGCAGAAAAGCAAUGGAAGCUCGCUGGCAACCCGUGCCCCACUUUGUGGUGUGACCACACAGAGCCUGGAAUCCUGCAGCCUUUUAAAGCCCUUUGCAGGGUUUGCUGGCUAGGAGCAGUGUUUGUCUGGGAGUUUGAUGUCUGCAGCCCCGACCUUGCUGUGACAGCAGCAGCCAGCAGGUGAGCAGGCUGCUGUGCCCAAUGGAGACUGAGAGCCUAUGGGCUUUGCUGUUCUAAUUUGCUUAUGACCCGGAGAAUUAGUGAGGAGGAUCUGCUAUCCCGUGGUGCACUGAUGGCUCCUGCAAGCCACGGGCUCCCAGGGGAAGGAGUGGUAUUUAUCAACCUUUCCUCAGCACACUUUAUGUAACAGCACAUUCCUCCAAACGUCCUCAGCGUGACCGCCCGCUCCUCUCUUUUUUCAUCCUGCAGUGUUUUACUUUCUAUAUUUCAAGGACCAGAGGAAGCAAAGCAAGGCACUGAAGCCCUCCCUGCAGAGCCCUCCUGGGCAGUGAAGGAGCAGCAGAGAGAGCUCUGAGCCCUGAGGUGCUGCUGCAGGACGAGGGCUGCAGUUCUCCAUCUGCAGAUGGUGCACAUCUGAGUCCUUUGCACUGCUCCCACCAGCAGCACUCCGCAGCUUUGUGCACCCAGCAAAUCCUGGAAGGUUUCCUUCCUUCCUUCCUUCCUUCCUUCCUUCCUUCUCUCCUUCCUUCCCUCCUUCCUUCCUUCCUUCCUUCCUUCCUUCCUUCCUUCCUUCCUUCCUUCCUUCCUUCCUUCCUUCCACAUGCAGGCCCUGUAAGCUCCCAUACCUGGCUGUUGCUCUGUAAGGGCUUUUGUCUCCAUUGCUUUCUUUUUUUCAGGGACCACGAGAGCCCGAGAGCGGCUGAGGUAUUAAUCUGAGUUUUCCGUUCCUAUUAUUAAAAGAAAUCUUCCCAUGAAAUAAUUCAUGAAUGGAAGAGAUGGUAGAGAAACUGCUUGGAAACUGCAGAGCCCUUGCCUCUGUCUGCAGGCUCCUGCGAGCUGAGGGGGAGCUGCAAACGAGCACGAGGCAGUUUUAUGCUUCUACUUGCCACUAGUGCUACUAUGAUCCGUGAGCCGUAACAGACAGAUCUUCCCAAAGCUGCAAUAAUAAAUCAUAAAUAUUUAUGGUGCUUAAUCACGAGGCGGCGACAGCACAGAAGCACCCGACCCAGUUACAGCACCCGGGGUGUCGGUGCUCACAGGGUGCAGGGGCUCAGCCUGAGCCAUGAGCACCCAUCCGUGUGCUCCCCACUUUGGUGGGGCUGGGCCACGCGGAGCAGCGGCCGCACAGAGCUGACAAGUCAGAAAAUGAGCUUUGAAAUCGACACCAACUGAGCGUCUGCUGAAAUGGAAACUGAGCGGCAGCGAUCUGACAGUGAGGAGGAUGUUUCACCUGAGAGCAGUUUCCUACCGGAGUGCUCGGCAGUGCUUCCCAGUUAGCAUCUCACACACGUGUGCUCGCUCAGAAAAGCCAUGAGGGCUCUUGCAAUGUCAGCCCACUCCUCUGCAGGUCCCACUGAAUGCACCAUGGGCUGGGUGGUGCUGCUGCAGUGCUCCGGACCCCCAGCUGCUGUCAUCACACACCCACCUGCACCAAGCACUGCGGGUUGUGCUGGUGCAAGACAACACACCAAGCCUGAUUCAAGGCACCAGGUGGUGUUGGAUGUGAACCUGCAGUUAAUUGCGUCUUCUUGCUAAGAAUAAUCGAGUAGCCUAAGUUCUCAACUCUGUAAUUGCACCCUAAUGAAUUGAUGUGUCAACUCUG
rnacentral:lncRNA from 1 species